GUAUUAUUAAGGGGAGGAAAAGAAACUAACAAGGAUUCCCCUAGUAACGGCGAGUGAAGCGGGAAAAGCUCAACUUGAAAAUCGAUGUGCUAAGCGGUACAUCGAGUUGUAGUCUAAAGAGGCAUGAUCAGCGGGUGACCUUGGUAUAAAUCCUUUGGAACAGGGUAUCAUAGAGGGUGAGAAUCCCGUCUUUGACCGGGAGUUCCCCGCGUACGAUCUGCUUUCUAAGAGUCGAGUUGUUU
rnacentral:rRNA from 1 species